UACGGAGGGUGCGAGCGUUGUCCGGAAUCACUGGGCGUAAAGGGCGCGUAGGCGGCCUGAUAAGUAGGGGGUGAAAUCCUGCGGCUUAACCGCAGGGCUGCCUUCUAAACUGUCAGGCUGGAGCACAGUAGAGGCAGGUGGAAUUCCCGGUGUAGCGGUGGAAUGCGUAGAGAUGUGGAGGAACACCGAUGGCGAAGGCAGCCUCCUGGGCCAGCACUGACGCUCAUGCACGAAAGCGUGGGGAGCAAACAGG
rnacentral:rRNA from 1 species